GGUGAUGGCUCAGCGGUAGAGUGCAUGCCUUGCGUGCGUGAGGCCCUGGGUUCAAUUCCCGGCACUG
rnacentral:tRNA from 1 species